AGAGAUGGAGUAAAUAAAGGUUUCUCCUGUGUCAUAGGAGACAUAGAUGGAAAAGGCACUCCAGAAACUGGUAAAUGUAAGGAAAGCUGUUUAGAGUUAGGCCAUGGCAUUUCUCAAAGACAUCAUCAUUAGGCCCUCCCUGAAAAGUCUCUAGCAACAUGAAGAUCCCUAUCAUCUUCUGUGAUGUCACAAGUGUUGUUGUGAUAGCAACUGCCUCUCAGAUAUUCCUUCGUACCUCUAGGGUUUACUAAUUGGCCCCUCAUUCAGAGUAAACAGCCAUUUAAAAGGGAGAACAAAGAGGAUGAAAAGAUCAGAUAUGGGGAGAACGAAGGAAGCUGACCUUCUGUCUUGUUAAAAAAAAAGGAAGAAAUUCAUGGUCCUUGGUACAGCUCAGUGAGUACUUGUAUAUGUGAGUGGCAGGAACAGGAUAGAAGGAGUGUUACCAUGGGAGGAGAAGGAAGAAUGGACGUGAGAGAUGUUUGAAGGAAGAGGAGGAGACUAGAUGGAAAAAGAGAGAAAGGAAGAUGACAGAGUGAGAAGCCAUGAGCAAACAGCAAUUUGGGAGCGAGAACAAAGAGGAUGAAAAGCCCGGAGAUGGAGAGAAUGAAGAUGGCCUUCUGUCUUGAUAUAUAGAAAAGGAAGAAAUAUGUCGACCCUGGGAAAUCUGACUGAGUCCUUGGUAGGAGUUGAGUAGGUACGUUGAAGAGAUAGAAUUAAUCUGAGCCUUCCACCCAUGGGAUCAGAAGCUUGGAGCCUGUCAGAAUCAUCUGGAAUUCCCUGCUUCUAGUGGUUCCUGUUAGUCAGGGAGUUUAUAUCAUUAAUAUCUCCAUCCGUGUCACACCUACCUCGUCCUGCAAGGAAGAAGCAACACCGUCGGAUCCUUCUUACCACCCUUUAUUGCAGGACCCCACCUCAUUUUGCUGAUACGGGGACCUCAAGCAGCAAGAGCGCUCGUCUUAUAUAGACAGCAGGCUGAGGGUAUGCUAAUUGUCCUUCAGGGAUUGGCGGAGCAGUAAUCACCUCAUGAGCAUGGUACUGCUCCCUCAUUAGCGUAUUGCUGGCCAACUGAUGCCAUGUGCAAAGCCUGCACAUGCACAGUAUCCUGGUUCACCACAGGAAGGCUCCCUACAUCUCUCCCUUUUUUGUUUAAUAAAAUGACUCUUCU